UGCGAGUCAUUGUAGCAAUACAAGGCAGACGGCUCAGUAACGCGUAUUCAACCUACCCUAUGGACGGGAAUAACCUCGGGAAACUGAGUAUAAUGCCCGAUAGAACAUUAUACCUGGAAUGGUUUAUGUUCCAAAUGAUUUAUCGCCGUAGGAUGGGACUGCGGCCUAUCAGUUUGUUGGUGAGGUAAUGGCCCACCAAGACUAUUACAGGUACGGGCUCUGAGAGGAGUGGCCCGGAGAUGGGUACUGAGACACGGACCCAGGCCCUAUGGGGCGCAGCAGGCGAGAAAACUUUGCAAUGUGCGAAAGCACGACAAGGUUAAUCCGAGUGGUUUCUGCUAAAGGAACCUUUUGACAGUCCUAGAAACACUGUUGAAUAAGGGGUGGGCAAGUUCUGGUGUCAGCCGCCGCGGUAAAACCAGCACCUCAAGUGGUCAGGAUGAUUAUUGGGCCUAAAGCAUCCGUAGCCGGCUCUGUAAGUUUUCGGUUAAAUCUGUACGCUUAACGUACAGGCUGCUGGGAAUACUGCAGAGCUAUGGAGUGGGAGAAGUANACCGUACUCGGGAGGAAGUGGUAAAAUGCUUUGAUCUCUCGAUGACCACCUGUGGCGAA
rnacentral:rRNA from 1 species